rnacentral:lncRNA from 1 species
CCAUACUGGCAGUUUGUUUAUUUUACUAGGGUGAAGAUUUUGUCAUUCCUUAAGCAGAAAGUGGAAUUUCAAUGACUAUCUUCAUAAGCAAUGAUAACUAAUUAAACAUUGAAUUAUGUAGUCUAUAAUAUAGAAAGAAAAGUGUCAAAAUCAAAGCCUAAGGUGAAGAUGUCUUUAAAUGCCUGAGAGCUAUCCAAAGAACAAUCAGUUUAAAACACAUAAAGCUCUACUUAGCUCUUCUUAUGCCUUUAUUUUGAUUAAUCCACUCAAUGAUGCUAAAUUACUGAACAAUUCACUAUUCUCUCUGACCGUUACACUGACACAGUUUGCAAUAAAAGGAAUUAUAUUUUUCAUCGCUUUACAGAUCUUCCUGCAGUAACCUAUUUUUGCCUCAUUAUCCACUUUUUAUAUUUCCCUCUUGUUUAUCCUGUAUUUAUUAUUGUUCUUUGUUUUAACUGAUUGUGUGGCAAGCUUGAGUGCUGAGAAAGGCGCCUACAAAUAAAGUCUAUUGUUAUUAUUAACAUAUAAUUGCAGUCAGGUAAAACUGGUACCGGAGUCUGGACCCUGAGUUGAUAGAAGGCCCUAAGCAAAAAAUAAACAAUAUAAAAAGACUGCUGUUUCCAGUAUGAUAAGGCAGGUUGUUUUAUCUUCUAAGAAAAUGUUACCAGUCAGUGCUCUUGCUUUAUGUUGCAAUACAAGGAAACUACAACUUUCAUCACAAAAGUCAAAAGAGAUGCGGUUGACUGACAUGAAAUCUGAAGGUGUAAAAGAUUCUUCCCCACAAUAUUCAGACAACUCAAAGUCUUCAGAUGGCCAUGAAGGUGACAGUGACACUGUUGAGGAUAAUGCUGGAGAAAAGGAGUGUAAAAUCCAAAAUGAAACUAAGGCUGACCUGAGAGUUGUCAGUACAGAAAGGACAGUACGGUCUCCAGUUGAGACUCUGACAGAAGUGGACCCCAGGCAAUGCCAUGUCAUCAGCAUAAGAGCUGAAGGAGUGGGUUGCUGUCAACCACAACAGCAACGAUCGUGUGAUAUACGAAGUGAUUUUGCUUACAAUUGUGUUUAUCCACCGGAAUCAAACAGAAAUCGCUGGGAUCCGAGUAUCCCCAACAGUCUUUUCCACUCUUCUCAGGUGAACGCCUGGUACAGCUGCGCUACCAUGGACAGAACAGUGCUGUGUGGGCCAAGUCUGGCAGCACCUGUCAGGACUGCAGGAGUGCCAGGGUUUCCUAUCCGCCUUCAACACCACACGCUGGUACAGGUACAUAGGAGAAAAACAAACUUAUGUAUUAUUACAAAAAAAUCAAUAUUAGUACUGAAAUUCUUGUAGAUCAGGGGUCUCCAACCCUGGUUCUCAAGUAGUACUGUCCUGCAGGUUUUCCAACUAUCCCUGCCCUUCCAGAUUCUGACUGGGUGAACACACCUGAUCCAGCUAUUCAGCAGUGGGCAUGACAGGGAUAUCUGGAAAACAAGCAGGACAGUAGCGCUCAAGGACCAGGGUUGGAGACCCCUGCUGUACAGUAUGCCCCAUCAGUGUUUCAUUGUUAUACAUGAAAGAUUACAGUAUCACAUUAUCAACAUGACCUAAGCACUAAUGUAUGUGUGAGCAGCAUUUUAAUAUUACAGUAUUAUAAGCUAUUUCAGCCCGGCAGGACUUAAGUCUGAACCUGAACAUUUUUUAUGUAUUUGUCAUUUUUCCAUAUUUUGUCUUCUUGUCCUUAAACAGGACCUUGGGAACCUCUCACAUUUUGGAGGCGUUCUAUUUUAUCCCCACUCCGGUCUCUCUGCAGCAUCAGCUCAGCGCCUCAAUGCACAAACACCAUCCAGAGUGGAUUUCGGUGGCUAUUCAAACAUCCACACCUUGAAUAGCCACAGCUACUACACUUCUCCAAUAAUACCCUCAUCUGUUCUUCCUGUGGGUAGGGGUGUACUGAAAUAUGUCACAUCUGAUUUGCUACCCAAAACAGAGCAGAAGAACUCAGUCAACAAAGCUGAAAGUGAUUCCAGUCAAGACAAGUCACAACCAGGGUGAAAAUCCUGACUUGAGAGGAGUUAUGGCUGCAUGUGGUCCUCUCACUCCCAUGUACACACUGGAAAGGUUGUGGCAAUGCCUCUGAAGUCAUUUCUGAAUAGUCAUCAGGUUGAUCCCUUUGUAAAGUCACAUAAUUCUGCAUCUAAAUGGCUACAUAAGGCUGAAUCUCUGCAAAGCAAUCAACAUUUUAUUUCAUUACAAAUAUAACUUAAUUUACAAAUCACAUGAAGUUAAUGGAAUUAAGGUGCUGUUGAGUGCUAAAUGGAUUUCUCCUUGGAUUCAUAAAAUGUCUUACCUUUGAAACCAGAAACAUUACCCAGGCAGAUUUAUAAGUUUGGUAUAUUAAAUAUGAACUGGCUUGAUUGAAAUAAACAAAAAGUCCAGCACUUAAAACAAAAAACAAAGAAAAAAAAACAUGAAGAUCUUUUGGCACUUUUCUCCACACAAAUUUAUAAGGACCUACCCAAAACAUGAAUGGAUUACUUUUAAUGUAAUUCAUGCAUUUAUGAAUGAAUGUAUAGUCUGUGCUUGCCCAUAAGAUUGUGCAGUUUUUUUCCCUCAAAGACUGAAAGGUUAAUCUAAUAAAUGAUGAUUUUUAUCCUAUAAGAGUCCCAUUGUUUAACUGGUUUUAAAAUCCUAUCAAAUAUUCGUCACUAAAUCUGCAAAGAAGAAAAAGGUAUAUUUAAAACCUUGUUUAAGACUGUGUGAAUAUGCUUUGACUACAAUUAACUCACAGGGACAAAACAACCCACCUAGUGUCUCAGAUUCUGAUCUUGCUGAAUUGAUUAAUACCAAG